AAAGUCGUAACAAGGUUUCCGUAGGUGAACCUGCGGAAGGAUCAUUAAUGAACCUCUGAGGAUUGAGCUGGUCGUCUCGACAAGUGCUCAUCCUCUUAUCCUUUAUACACCUGUGCAUCUUUUAGAGAGAUCAAGUCAGGACUAGUAGGUCUCUUGACUGAAGAUCCCGACUCUCUCUGAUUUACAUACACUUUAUCUAAUUCCUGGAAUAAUUGAUUUAUAAAUAAUAACAACUUUUAACAACGGAUCUCUUGGCUCUC
rnacentral:misc_RNA from 1 species